UCUGAGGCUUUCUGAGGGCAGCGCCCUCUGCAGCGUCCGCCCCGGGGCUGUGAGGGCGCGGUACCCGGAGGCGGCACUCGAGGCCUCACAUAGGCCGGCACGGCUUAGAGAGGGGGAAAAAAGCGGGAUUAAAGUUUUCCUCUUCCAAGAAGAGAAGCAGAAAUGCAAAACGUUGGGAUAACUAAAUGCACUUGUCUUGGAAGGGGCUCAAGAAUGAUGCAGUAGAUGGCAGAAUGGCCCUGCAGUCCUUUUUCUGCACAGAAGACUGGAGACUCACAGGUGACCUUGCAAUUUGCAUUGAAAAAGAAAAAAAAUACUCUGAUAUUUAGAAUAUGGCUGAAGUGUUCCAGUAGCCCAGAACCAGUCCCUCUGCCCUGGCACUCCCUCCUGUCAGGAUCCUUCCAUGACAGCAGUUACAAUCCAUUCCUUAAUGGAAUCACUGGGCACCACAACAUCUCUCACUUCUGUAAUGGCUUCUUGGGCUCCUAAGCCUGAUUAUGGCUGGAAGCCUCUUCCUUUUACUGCUGAGCUCCUCUGUUUAUUACUUUAGUUUUAUCAGUGCCUUGCUGAUAGCUCCCUUAUUUUAACUGACAUCAAGUUGUUAUUCAUGAAUGUCUCCAUGUAGUUCAUGCACCCUUUUCCCAGUAAUGUAUCUUUGAUGUUUAUAGUUGAUAACACAUGGUUAUAGUUAAUGAAAUUUUACUAUCAACAUGCUUGAACUCUUACCUUACUCUAUUCUUUGUAUAAUUUCAAUAAACAUGUUAUGGACUUGCUCAACCUUUCUGAUUUUGAUAAAGUAUGUCUGUGCUAACCUAAGGUGUUAUUUUAAUCAUUUGAAUGCUGUAGAGAUUAUUGUACAGGUCUGCCUGAGCUAAUUUGCAACCAUGAAGUUCCACAGCAGGUUGACUGUAUGUGUUUUGGUAAAUGUUUUUUUUAAUAAGGAACCAAGCAAACUUUCAAAAAUUUAGUUUCAUUCAGGCUCGCUAGAUUCUAACUCCUGUUCCUAAAAGAAUUCUCAUUUGAUGAUAGCAGUGAGUUUUUAUUAUCAGGUUUUAAAUCUUUCCAUCACACAGCUGUCAAUG